GUCUACGGCCAUACCACCCUGAACGCGCCCGAUCUCGUCUGAUCUCGGAAGCUAAGCAGGGUCGGGCCUGGUUAGUACUUGGAUGGGAGGAAAAGAAGGCUGCUAAGCU
rnacentral:rRNA from 1 species